AGGGUUUGAUCAUGGCUCAGAACGUACGCUGGCGGCACGCCUAACACAUGCAAGUCGAACGAAGUAGUAAUACUUAGUGGCAGACGGGUGAGUAACAUGUGGGUAUCUGCCCUUUGGCCUGGAAUAACACGAGGAAACUUGUGCUAAUACCGGAUAAGUCUUUACGGAGAAAGCUUUAUGCACCAUUGGAUGAGCCCGCACUUGAUUAGUUUGUUGGUGGGGUAAUAGCCUACCAAGACUAUGAUCAAUAGCUGAUUUGAGAGGAUGAUCAGCCACAUUGGGACUGAGACACGGCCCAAACUCCUACGGGAGGCAGCAGUGGGGAAUCUUGCACAAUGGAGGAAACUCUGAUGCAGCGAUGCCGCGUGAGUGAAGAAGGCCUUUGGGUUGUAAAGCUCUUUCGUCGGGGAAGAAAAUGACUGUACCCGAAUAAGAAGGUCCGGCUAACUUCGUGCCAGCAGCCGCGGUAAUACGAAGGGACCUAGCGUAGUUCGGAAUUACUGGGCUUAAAGAGUUCGUAGGUGGUUGAAAAAGUUGGUGGUGAAAUCCCAGAGCUUAACUCUGGAACUGCCAUCAAAACUUUUCAGCUAGAGUUUGAUAGAGGAAAGCAGAAUUUCUAGUGUAGAGGUGAAAUUCGUAGAUAUUAGAAAGAAUACCAAUUGCGAAGGCAGCUUUCUGGAUCAUUACUGACACUGAGGAACGAAAGCAUGGGUAGCGAAGAGGAUUAGAUACCCUCGUAGUCCAUGCCGUAAACGAUGUGUGUUAGACGUUGGAAAUUUAUUUUCAGUGUCGCAGCGAAAGCGAUAAACACACCGCCUGGGGAGUACGACCGCAAGGUUAAAACUCAAAUGAAUUGACGGGGACCCGCACAAGUAGUGGAGCAUGUGGUUUAAUUCGAAGAUACGCGCAGAACCUUACCAACACUUGACAUGUUCGUCGCGACUUUAAGAGAUUAAAGUUUUCGGUUCGGCCGGACGAAACACAGGUGCUGCAUGGCUGUCGUCAGCUCGUGUCGUGAGAUGUUGGGUUAAGUCCCGCAACGAGCGCAACCCUCACUUUUAGUUGCCAUCAUUUAGUUGGGCACUCUGAAAGAACUGCCAGUGAUAAGCUGGAGGAAGGUGGGGAUGACGUCAAGUCCUCAUGGCCCUUACGUGUUGGGCUACACACGUGCUACAAUGGUAUCUACAACAGGAAGCGAAACAGCGAUGUUAAGCAAAUCCUUAAAAGAUACCUCAGUUCGGAUUGCACUCUGCAACUCGAGUGCAUGAAGCUGGAAUUACUAGUAAUCGUGGAUCAGCGUGCCACGGUGAAUGCGUUCCCGGGUCUUGUACACACCGCCCGUCACACCAUGGGAGUUGGUUCUACCUUAAGGCAAGGUUUAAUACCCUUGACCACGGUAUAGUCAGCGACUGGGGUGAAGUCAUAACAAGGUAACCG
rnacentral:rRNA from 1 species